UGUGUGAAGAAGGCCUUCGGGUUGUAAAGCACUUUCAGUCGUGAGGAAGGUGGUGUAGUUAAUAGCUGCUUUGUUUGACGUUAGCGACAGAAGAAGCACCGGCUAACUCCGUGCCAGCAGCCGCGGUAAUACGGAGGGUGCGAGCGUUAAUCGGAAUUACUGGGCGUAAAGCGCAUGCAGGUGGUUUGUUAAGUCAGAUGUGAAAGCCCGGGGCUCAACCUCGGAAUAGCAUUUGAAACUGGCAGACUAGAGUACUGUAGAGGGGGGUAGAAUUUCAGGUGUAGCGGUGAAAUGCGUAGAGAUCUGAAGGAAUACCGGUGGCGAAGGCGGCCCCCUGGACAGAUACUGACACUCAGAUGCGAAAGCGUGGGGAGCAAACAGGAUUAGAUACCCUGGUAGUCCACGCCGUAAACGAUGUCUACUUGGAGGUUGUGGCCUUGAGCCGUGGCUUUCGGAGCUAACGCGUUAAGUAGACCGCCUGGGGAGUACGGUCGCAAGAUUAAAAACUCAAAUGAAUUGACGGGGGCCCGCACAAGCGGUGGAGCAUGUGGUUUAAUUCGAUGCAACGCGAAGAACCUUACCUACUCUUGACAUCCAGAGAACUUUCCAGAGAUGGAUUGGUGCCUUCGGGAACUCUGAGACAGGUGCUGCAUGGCUGUCGUCAGCUCGUGUUGUGAAAUGUUGGGUUAAGUCCCGCAACGAGCGCAACCCUUAUCCUUGUUUGCCAGCGAGUAAUGUCGGGAACUCCAGGGAGACUGCCGGUGAUAAACCGGGAGGAAGGUGGGGACGACGUCAAGUCAUCAUGGCCCUUACGAGUAGGCUACACACGUGCUACAAUGGCGCAUACAGAGGGGCGGGCCAACUUGGCGAAAGUUGAGCGAAUCCCCAAAAAGUGCGUCGUAGUCCGGAUUUGUAUCC
rnacentral:rRNA from 1 species